rnacentral:lncRNA from 1 species
CUGAGUUAAGGGUGUGGAGAGUUGGGAUUUCGCCGCCAUGAGGCCGGCAUCGGAAUCUUAUGUGGGACUCGAAUCCAGUUGUCAGUACAUGUUAUUAAUGGGACUCAUCUUUUGAGAGAGGCUAGCUCUCAAGAUUGUAGGAUUAAGACGCUUAACUAGGAUUGCGGGGAAGACUAAAUUCUGAAGUAAACCAUCACCUACUUUCCAAACACCUUGGAAAAUGCAGAGGCUUAAAAGCAACCGAUAGGAAUUUAUAAAAAGCCUAAAUUAGGCUUUAUUCUGUGUGAAGGAAUGACUUGUAAUGUUGACAAGCUCCAUGGAAGCUAUUGAGGUAUUUUCUUUUCUCCAUAUCAUUCUUCUCCCUAGGAGGUCGCUAGCUUUCUGGUGAUUAAAUGUCUGCUGAAAUGCUCCACAAGGAUCAAGUUUUUUUUGUUUGUUUGUUUUGUUUUGUUUUUGGAGACAGGGUCUCGCUCUGUUGUACAGGCUGGAGUGCAGUGGCAUUAGUAGAGAAGGGGGUUUCACCUUGUUGGCCAGGCUGGUCUCGAACUCCUGACCUCAAGUGAUCCGUUUGCCUCGGCUUCCCAAAGUGCUGGAAUUACGGCCCUGAGCCAUUGUGCCCGUUCAAGUUUGGGUCUUCUGCCAGAUGGCCGCCUGGGAGGGAGUGGGUGAGUUUAGACAGAGUAAAUUGAAACAGGCUACUUUCGGUACAGUUUUUCUCAAAUGAAGCUUUCAGACAAAUAUGAUUUCACUGUUACACAUUUGAGCAGAUUUCAGAUUAUCCUUUUAACAUCAUUCUGACUUAGGUUCUGAU